CAAGAAAUUAGAAAUUCCUUGUCUUUUGACAGUAUUAAGUAAACAUGCUUGUAAGAUGGGCCUUGCCAUUCAAAUUGGUUUCCAGAGUCAAACUGAGAUGGAUUUGGAACUUCAGGAUGCUACCCCAGUUUUUUCCAUCUGACAAGACGCUAUUUGCCCUUUGCACAGCAGAAUACAAUCCAGAAGAAAGUAACUUUGAAGAUACUUUACACAAAAAGAUUGUUUGUCUAAUCAACUCAUGUGAAAGUGAUUUAUAAAUGCUCCUUGUUAGAAGCAAGUCUACUAGGAUACAAGAAGCUCAAAAGAAAGAUACUUCAGCUGAAUUUGAUUCUGUAACUUUUCUUUCAGUUAUUAUAUAAGGCAGGAUUACAAAACUGUCAUGAUACAGACAGCUUAACAAUAGGUCAAGAAUAUUGUCUGUCACCUGUUUCUUCUUAUGCCUAAGUCUAAAAAAAAAACCUGUCAUUUUCAUCUUUUCUGUAACUGAAAACAGAGUGAAAGAGGAAUGAGUAUCUUGCCAUUGAAUUUCAUAUGCAAUUUACAAUUUAAAAUUGAUAGUUAUAAUUAUUACUGUUUGUUACCCAAUACUUAGCUUUGUAUGAGAAAAACCUAGCAUGUGAUUGAAAGCACUUGAAAUCUGUCUGGUUUUCAUAACUAUAGGCAUCCUAACUAGACAUAUUCAUACAGCUGAUUAUGAUAGUUUUCUUAUUUAAAAGAAUAACUGACCUGAUACAGCAGAAAAAGUCUAACAAUCCUCAGAAAUAUCUUCAAGCAGAACCAGAAAGCUAGACCCUCUGUUCUUCUGAGUGAGGCAACAAGAAAACCAGGCCAUGAGCCUUUGCAUUAAGCAGCUUUUUAUUUAAAGCUUUUCUGUAUGAAUUCUUCAGGUCUGUAAACUCAGUAUAUAUGCAGACGUAUACUCUAAGAUACAGAUACAAACAGAGAGAGCUGUGUUAUCAGCAGUUCCUUACAUCUUUCUCCUGUUGUAUUGCUGCUUCUUCCAAACUGACAUGUCUGUUUCUAGCUCUCCCAAAGUCUCAGCUGUGCAGUCAGAGAUAUUUCUUCAUAUACACUGUCUGAUAUCACUGUGGGUCCGAGAAAGGGAGAGAAAUGUGUGGGGUUUGUGGGCUGUUGGAGACUUCCAAAAUCAAAAAUAAAGGUUAAUUUUUGAUCCCUGGGUUCA
rnacentral:lncRNA from 1 species